rnacentral:tmRNA from 1 species
GGGCUAGGCAGCUUGUUUGUUCUCAAGGAGCAAGUUGCGAGAAAACACUUGAGAUAGCCUGAACGAAUCUGGCAUAAGGGAGUCGUUACGGUGAAGUACCAAAACUUAUGCUAAGCAUGUAGUGACUUUUAUUGAACUGCUCUCGGACACGGGUUCGAUUCCCGUCACCUCCAUCA